rnacentral:rRNA from 1 species
UACGGGGGGGUAAGCGUUGUUCGGAAUUACUGGGCGUAAAGGGCUCGUAGGCGGCCAACUAAGUCAGACGUGAAAUCCCUCAGCUUAACUGGGGAACUGCGUCUGAUACUGGAUGGCUUGGAUUCGGGAGAGGAAUGCGGAAUUCCAGGUGUAGCGGUGAAAUGCGUAGAUAUCCGGAGGAACACCGGUGGCGAAGGCGGCUUCCUGGACCGACACUGACGCUGAGGCGCGAAAGCUAGGGGAGCAAACGGG